rnacentral:tRNA from 1 species
UGGCUUAGUGGUAAAGAAUCUGCCUGCAAUGCAGGAGAUCCAGGUUCCAUCCCUGG